rnacentral:tRNA from 1 species
GGGGAGAUAGGUCAGUGUCAGAGUAUCUGCCUAGCAUGCAGAAGGCCCUGGGUUUGAUCCCCAGCCCCA